rnacentral:tRNA from 1 species
AGGGCCUUAGUUUAAUAAAAACACUUGAUUUGCAGUCAGGAGAUGUAAGUUGAUUUACUUGUAGGUCUUA